AACGAACGCUGGCGGCAUGCCUAACACAUGCAAGUCGAACGAUGCCUUCGGGCAUAGUGGCGCACGGGUGCGUAACGCGUGGGAAUCUGCCUUUCGGUUCGGAAUAACUCAGGGAAACUUGAGCUAAUACCGGAUAACGUCGCAAGACCAAAGAUUUAUCACCGAAAGAUGAGCCCGCGUAGGAUUAGCUAGUUGGUGAGGUAAAGGCUCACCAAGGCGACGAUCCUUAGCUGGUCUGAGAGGAUGAUCAGCCACACUGGGACUGAGACACGGCCCAGACUCCUACGGGAGGCAGCAGUGGGGAAUAGUGGACAAUGGGCGAAAGCCUGAUCCAGCAAUGCCGCGUGAGUGAUGAAGGCCUUAGGGUUGUAAAGCUCUUUUACCCGGGAAGAUAAUGACGGUACCGGGAGAAUAAGCCCCGGCUAACUCCGU
rnacentral:rRNA from 1 species